CAGCAGCCACGGGAAUACAGAGGGUGCAAGCGUUAAUCGGAAUUACUGGGCGUAAAGCGCGCGUAGGUGGUUUGUUAAGUUGGAUGUGAAAGCCCCGGGCUCAACCUGGGAACUGCAUCCAAAACUGGCAAGCUAGAGUACGGUAGAGGGUGGUGGAAUUUCCUGUGUAGCGGUGAAAUGCGUAGAUAUAGGAAGGAACACCAGUGGCGAAGGCGACCACCUGGACUGAUACUGACACUGAGGUGCGAAAGCGUGGGGAGCAAACAGGAUUAGAUACCCCAGUAGUCCCUGUCUCUUAUAC
rnacentral:rRNA from 1 species